GAUGAACGCUAGCGGCAGGCUUAACACAUGCAAGUCGAGGGGCAGCAUAAUGGUAGUAAUACUAUUGAUGGCGACCGGCGGACGGGUGCGUAACGCGUAUGCAACCUACCCUUUACAGGGGGAUAACACUGAGAAAUCGGUACUAAUACCCCAUAAUAUUCUGGGAGGCAUCUUUCGGAGUUGAAAGCUUUGGUGGUAAAGGAUGGGCAUGCGUUGUAUUAGCUAGUUGGUAAGGUAACGGCUUACCAAGGCGACGAUACAUAGGGGGACUGAGAGGUAGGUCCCCCACAUUGGAACUGAGACACGGUCCAAACUCCUACGGGAGGCAGCAGUGAGGAAUAUUGGUCAAUGGGCGAGAGCCUGAACCAGCCAAGUAGCGUGAAGGAUGACUGCCCUAUGGGUUGUAAACUUCUUUUAUAAAGGAUAAAGUCGGGUAUGGAUACCCGUUUGCAUGUACUUUAUGAAUAAGGAUCGGCUAACUCCGUG
rnacentral:rRNA from 1 species